rnacentral:rRNA from 1 species
AACACGUGUGCACCUGCCUUAUCUGGGGGAUAGCCUUUCGAAAGGAAGAUAUACCCAUAUAUGUUGAAUGGCAUCAUUCGACAUUGAAACUCGGUGGAUAAAAUGGGCACGCGCAAUAAAUAUUGUGAGGUACGUCACCAAGUCUACAAUCUUAGGGGCCUGAAAGUGAUCCCCCACACUGGUACUGAAAACGGACCAACUCUACGGGAGGCAAUGAGGAUAUGGACAAUGGGUGAAACUGAUCCAGCCAUCCCGCGUGAGGGACGAAUGCCCUAAUGGGUUGUAAAACUUCUUUUGUACAGGGAUAAACCUACCCUCGUUGAGGGUAGCUGAAGGUACUAUACGAAUAAGCAACCGGCUAACUCCGGUGCCAGCAGCCGCGGUAAUACGGAGGGUGCAAGCGUUAUCCGGAUUAUUGGGUUUAAAAGGGUCCGAAGCGGAUCUGUAAUCAGUGGUGAAAUCUCAACAGUUAACUGUGAAAACUGGCAUUGAUACUUGCAGUCUUGAUGGUUGUUGAAAGUAGCUGGGAAUAAAGUAGUGUAGCGGUGAAAAUGCAUAGAUUUACUUAGAAAACCAAUUUGCGAAAGGCAGGGUUAAUAA